GUGGGGAAUCUUCCGCAAUGGACGAAAGUCUGACGGAGCAACGCCGCGUGAGUGAUGAAGGUCUUCGGAUUGUAAAGCUCUGUUAAUCGGGACGAAAGAGCCUAGUGUGAAUAAUGCUAGGAAGUGACGGUACCGGAAUAGAAAGCCACGGCUAACUACGUGCCAGCAGCCGCGGUAAUACGUAGGUGGCAAGCGUUGUCCGGAAUUAUUGGGCGUAAAGCGCGCGCAGGCGGAUCUGCCAGUCUGUCUUAAAAGUUCGGGGCUUAACCCCGUGAUGUGAUGGAGACUACAGAUCUAGAGUAUCGGAGAGGAAAGUGGAAUUCCUAGUGUAGCGGUGAAAUGCGUAGAUAUUAGGAAGAACACCAGUGGCGAAGGCGACUUUCUGGACGAAAACUGACGCUGAGGCGCGAAAGCCAGGGGAGCGAACGGGAUUAGAUACCCCAGUAGUCC
rnacentral:rRNA from 1 species